UAGCUCAGUCGGUUAGAGCAUGGUGCUGAUAACACCAAGGUCACGGGUUGAUCCCCUGU
rnacentral:tRNA from 1 species